UAACACAUGCAAGUCGAGCGGUAACAGAAAGUAGCUUGCUACUUUGCUGACGAGCGGCGGACGGGUGAGUAAUGCUUGGGAACAUGCCUUGAGGUGGGGGACAACAGUUGGAAACGACUGCUAAUACCGCAUAAUGUCUACGGACCAAAGGGGGCUUCGGCUCUCGCCUUUAGAUUGGCCCAAGUGGGAUUAGCUAGUUGGUGAGGUAAUGGCUCACCAAGGCNACGAUCCCUAGCUGGUUUGAGAGGAUGAUCAGCCACACUGGGACUGAGACACGGCC
rnacentral:rRNA from 1 species